GCCCUUAGAGUUUGAUCAUGGCUCAGGACGAACGCAUGGCGGCGUGCCUAACACAUGCAAGUCGAACGAAGCUACUUGGUUAGCUUGCUAACCGGGUAGACUUAUUGGCGGACGGGUGAGUAACACGUGGGUAACCUACCUGGGAGACCGGGAUAACAGCUCGAAAGGGCUGCUAAUACCGGAUGAAGUAUGAGUAAUUAGAUUUACUUGUACCAAAGGCGUUAAGUAGUGCUCCUGGAUGGGCCCGCGGCUCAUUAGCUAGUUGGUAGGGUAAAGGCUUACCAAGGCGAUGAUGGGUAGCCGGUCUGAGAGGAUGGUCGGCCACACUGGGACUGAGACACGGCCCAGACUCCUACGGGAGGCAGCAGUGGGGAAUCUUGCACAAUGGAGGAAACUCUGAUGCAGCCACGCCGCGUGGAGGAAGACACCCCUAUGGGGCGUAAACUCCUUUUCUGCCGGGAGAAAACCCUGGUCUCCAGGGCGUGACGGUACGGCAGGAAUAAGCACCGGCUAACUCCGUGCCAGCAGCCGCGGUAAUACGGAGGGUGCAAGCGUUGUCCGGAAUUACUGGGUGUAAAGGGUGCGCA
rnacentral:rRNA from 1 species